GAAUUCGCCCUUAGAGUUUGAUCCGGCUCAGGAUGAACGCUAGCUACAGGCUUAACACAUGCAAGUCGAGGGGCAGCGGGGAUCUAGCUUGCUAGAUUUGCCGGCGACCGGCGCACGGGUGAGUAACACGUAUCCAACCUGGCCCAUACUCGGGUAUAGCCUCUCGAAAGGGAGAUUAAUCCCCGAUGUUGUCACAUUCCCGCAUGGAAGUGUGACCAAAGAAUUUCGGUAUGGGAUGGGGAUGCGUUCCAUUAGCUAGUUGGCGGGGUAACGGCCCACCAAGGCGACGAUGGAUAGGGGUUCUGAGAGGAAGGUCCCCCACACUGGAACUGAGACACGGUCCAGACUCCUACGGGAGGCAGCAGUGGGGAAUAUUGGGCAAUGGGCGAAAGCCUGACCCAGCAACGCCGCGUGAGGGAAGAAGGUUUUCGGAUUGUAAACCUCUGUCCUAAGGGAAGAAGGAAGUGACGGUACCUUAGGAGGAAGCCCCGGCUAACUACGUGCCAGCAGCCGCGGUAAUACGUAGGGGGCGAGCGUUGUCCGGAAUGACUGGGCGUAAAGGGCGUGUAGGCGGCCUGUUAAGUUAGGAGUGAAAGUCCUGCUUUCAAGGUGGGAAUUGCUUUUAAUACUGAUGGGCUUGAGUGCAGAAGAGGUAAGUGGAAUUCCCAGUGUAGCGGUGAAAUGCGUAGAGAUUGGGAGGAACACCAGUGGCGAAGGCGACUUACUGGGCUGUAACUGACGCUGAGGCGCGAAAGCGUGGGGAGCGAACAGGAUUAGAUACCCUGGUAGUCCACGCGGUAAACGAUGAAUGCUAGGUGUAGGGGGUAUCGACCCCUCCUGUGCCGGAGUAAACACAAUAAGCAUUCCGCCUGGGGAGUACGGCCGCAAGGUUGAAACUCAAAGGAAUUGACGGGGGCCCGCACAAGCAGCGGAGCAUGUGGUUUAAUUCGAAGCAACGCGAAGAACCUUACCAGGUCUUGACAUCGAGGUAAACUUGUAGAGAUACAAGGUGGAUUCGUCCGACCGAAGACAGGUGGUGCAUGGUUGUCGUCAGCUCGUGUCGUGAGAUGUUGGGUUAAGUCCCGCAACGAGCGCAACCCCUAUCUUUAGUAGCCAGCAUUUCGGAUGGGCACUCUAGAGAGACUGCCAGGGAUAACCUGGAGGAAGGUGGGGAUGACGUCAAAUCAUCAUGCCCCUUAUGAUCAGGGCUACACACGUGCUACAAUGGCGUAAACAAAGGGAAGCGAUCCCGCGAGGGUGAGCAAAUCUCAAAAAUAACGUCUCAGUUCGGAUUGUAGUCUGCAACUCGACUACAUGAAGCUGGAAUCGCUAGUAAUCGCGAAUCAGAAUGUCGCGGUGAAUACGUUCCCGGCUCUUGUACUCACCGCCCGUCA
rnacentral:rRNA from 1 species